rnacentral:rRNA from 1 species
AUUGAACGCUGGCGGCAUGCCUUACACAUGCAAGUCGAACGGCAGCACGGGUGCUUGCACCUGGUGGCGAGUGGCGAACGGGUGAGUAAUACAUCGGAACAUGUCCUGUAGUGGGGGAUAGCCCGGCGAAAGCCGGAUUAAUACCGCAUACGAUCUACGGAUGAAAGCGGGGGACCUUCGGGCCUCGCGCUAUAGGGUUGGCCGAUGGCUGAUUAGCUAGUUGGUGGGGUAAAGGCCUGCCAAGGCGACGAUCAGUAGCUGGUCUGAGAGGACGACCAGCCACACUGGGACUGAGACACGGCCCAGACUCCUACGGGAGGCAGCAGUGGGGAAUUUUGGACAAAGGGCGAAAGCCUGAUCCAGCAAUGCCGCGUGUGUGAAGAAGGCCUUCGGGUUGUAAAGCACUUUUGUCCGGAAAGAAAUCCUUGGCCCUAAUACGGUCGGGGGAUGACGGUACCGGAAGAAUAAGCACCGGCUAACUACGUG